rnacentral:tmRNA from 3 species
GGGGGCGAAUAGGCUCGACGGCAGCUUAUCGCGUCAAAGUUGCAGGCCAUGGUUGACCAGGCCAUGUAAAACAGGGUCAAAAACAAAAAAGCCAACUCAAAUGAGAUGGCCUGGGCUCACGCUUAAGUGAGCCUCGCUGCCGGACGUCUCUCUGCAACGUCCGGUGAGCGUCAAAACGCAGGGUGCUGUUCCGGCGUCGCGCUUCGUACGCCGGGGCAAAAGACCACACGGAGCUUUGGAUCGGUUUUGUCGUCCUGAACUGAGGCCGAUCCGAGACAAAAUCAGGGCUAAGCCUGUAGCGGCUCUGGCGCGUAAUUGUCGGACCCGGGUGCGAAUCCCGGCGCCUCCAUAA